AAACAGGGGUGCCCAAGCAAGGCAUAUCUACAGCAAAAUUAUUUGAUGUAUUUACCUUGCGGCUGAGAAUAUACCCUUUAACCUGAUUCGGAUAAUGCCGACGGAGGGAGUUUUAA
rnacentral:ncRNA from 1 species